GAGAUGCAGGGUGUGCCUGACACAUUCCCUAUGCAUGUCUAUAACCUGGUUCCUUUUUGUGACCUCCCGUCGCGUGUUGGAGCUCAGGAUUGCUUCACGGAUGUAUUGGGGCAGAUUGUGGGUGUUUCUAAGCUGGGUCAUGUUCACAUGUCAACUAACACAACUGCCACUCCUAAGCGGGUUAUUACUCUCAGAGAUGACAGGAACGCAGAGGUGAAGCUUGUCCUCUGGGGACAGAGGGCUAUUGAGUUCGAUGCGGAGCUUAUGUUUGACAACGGCCAGAAUACCCCUGUUGUUGGAGUCUUUGUGGGUGUGCUUAUGAAAUCUUACAACAAUGAUGAGACGCUGAGUGGUGGAUCUGCAUGUAGAUGGUACUUGAACGAAGACAUUCCUGAGAUUGACUCUUACUUUGAAAGGCUAGGUGAUGACUUCGCUAAAGUUCAGUGGAUUUCUACCGGUACUGAAAAAUUUGCUGUGCCGCGCAAUAGAGGUGAUCUUCCACACAAGACAGUUGCUGAGCUUAGGGAAUUGGAUCCAUGGGAAACAGAGGCUACAGACUUCCUCUGUACUGUGACAAUUUCAAGCGUGGCACCUGAACAUGCAUGGUGGUUCCAUUCAUGCUCCAAGUGUCACCGAUCAGCCACCUCUUAUGGAUCAGAAUACAAAUGCAACGGAGGCUGUGUUUCGACAAAAGCUUAUCCAAAGUACCGUCUAUGCCUUGUUGGGACCGAUGGCACCGGUACUGCCGAGUUUGUGUUCUUCAACAGUGUUGCUCAGCAGCUGGUUGGAAAAACAGUGAUGUCUCUCUUAAGAUCCCCCGGCCUUCCUCAUGAGAUUGCUGCCGUUGUUUGUCAGAAAUAUACUCUUGCUGUGUCGGUGACCCAGAAAAGUCUACAGCAGAGGAACAUAUCGUUCCAAGUCAAUGCAAUUGAAACUUUCUUUGGAAGGCAGAACUCUGUGCCACAUGACACCCGCAUCCCUGCUAUAAACUCUAUGCCACAGUCCACCCGCUUUCCUACUAUACUUCCCUUGCCUACGACAGACACAUCUUCACUCGAUCAAAUUCUUGGUGAGCCAGUUGCCGGUGACUCAUCUGUGGCUAUUCCUGACCUCCCUAUCCCCAAUGAAGAUGUCCCAAAGAAACCAGGUCCAGUUCGCAUGCCACUUCGUAACCUUAAAAGAAAGCAGCCUGAAGAUCAUAGCCCUAGUACUCUCAAGAAUCCUCUUGCUAAUAAUGCUGCAAACACCUCUGUCACAGCUGUUGCGGACCUCACAGCUGAAGUAUCCUUUGUCUCGUUUGUUAGUGUUCCUUCAUCGGCUUUACUUCCUCUUGAUUUGCUCUGCAGCAACACUGCCGCUGAGACGGAAGGUUCCUCUUUAACUGCCAAGCUACUGAAAGAGGGAUAUGAAAUGAGGAUACUGAGUCAGGCCUUGAAGAUGCAAACAACAAUGCGGCAAAGAAAAGUAAGGUGCUGACAAAUGUGGCUGAUCCUCCCUCUGCAACUCCUAGUGUUCGAAUUAAGAAGUCGCCGCUAAAGAAGGGAAAGUAGUGCCAUGUUGUCAUUCCCUAUCAAGGCUGCAUGCUCAUUUUGGAUCCAUGUUGGUGUUGCUGCACGCUCGUCCAUGUUAUUACGCUUUACUUUGCUUGUAAAUUAUGUGCCUAGGUGGACAUAAUGGUGAUAUGUAAUAUAUGCUCCAAACACCACCUUUAGUAUUAUACAGGUCUGCAUGACCUGAUAUCCUAUUAAACUAGACAAGAACAAGCCCACUCUAUGGUAUUGUAUUUAGGUUUACUGCAGAAACUGCUAUGUUGAUGGUGUUGUAUUUCGUUUUAGACAAUUCUAUGCUACCUUAUCUACCGGUUUAAUGCGUACAUGUUUUUAAGUAUCUACAUUAUUGUUAAUGUUAUCUCCACUGUGAUCGAUACUCUGGUUAUUUGGUA